rnacentral:rRNA from 1 species
CAUCUUCAGCAAACCCUAAAAAGGAGCCACAGUAAGCACGAGUAUACAACAUAAAAACGUUAGGUCAAGGUGUAACCUAUGAGCUGGAAAGAAAUGGGCUACAUUUCCUAUUAAAGGCUACAAAACAAUUAACCCACGAAAAUCACCAUGAAAUAGGUGAUUGAAGGUGGAUUUAGCAGUAAAUUAAGAAUAGAGAGCUUAAUUGAACUCGGCUAU